UACGUAGGGGGCUAGCGUUGUCCGGAAUCAUUGGGCGUAAAGAGCUCGUAGGCGGCUUGAUAAGUCGGGUGUGAAACCUCCAGGCUCAACCUGGAGUCGCCACUCGAUACUGUCAUGGCUAGAGUCCGGUAGGGGACCACGGAAUUCCUGGUGUAGCGGUGAAAUGCGCAGAUAUCAGGAGGAACACCGGUGGCGAAGGCGGUGGUCUGGGCCGGCACUGACGCUGAGGUGCGAAAGCGUGGGGAGCAAACAGG
rnacentral:rRNA from 1 species